rnacentral:rRNA from 1 species
AUUGAACGCUGGCGGCAGGCUUAACACAUGCAAGUCGAGCGGGGUGAUGGUGCUUGCACUACCACUUAGCGGCGGACGGGUGAGUAAUGCUUAGGAAUCUGCCUAUUAGUGGGGGACAACAUUCCGAAAGGAAUGCUAAUACCGCAUACGUCCUACGGGAGAAAGCAGGGGAUCUUCGGACCUUGCGCUAAUAGAUGAGCCUAAGUCGGAUUAGCUAGUUGGUGGGGUAAAGGCCUACCAAGGCGACGAUCUGUAGCGGGUCUGAGAGGAUGAUCCGCCACACUGGGACUGGGACACGGCCCAGACUCCUACGGGAGGCAGCAGUGGGGAAUAUUGGACAAUGGGGGAAACCCUAAUCCAGCCAUGCCGCGUGUGUGAAGAAGGCCUUAUGGUUGUAAAGCACUUUAAGCGAGGAGGAGGCUACUGAGACUAAUACUCUUGGAUAGUGGACGUUACUCGCAGAAUAAGCACCGGCUAACUCUGUGCCAGCCGCCGCCGUAA